rnacentral:rRNA from 1 species
UACGUAGGCAGCGAGCGUUGUUCGGAGUUACUGGGCGUAAAGGGUGUGUAGGCGGUUCUUUAAGUUUGGUGUGAAAUCUCCCGGCUCAACCGGGAGGGUGCGCCGAAUACUGAGGGACUAGAGUGCGGGAGAGGAAAGUGGAAUUCCUGGUGUAGCGGUGAAAUGCGUAGAUAUCAGGAGGAACACCGGUGGUGUAGACGGCUUUCUGGACCGUAACUGACGCUGAGGCACGAAAGCGUGGGGAUCAAACAGG